GACGAACGCUGGCGGCGUGCUUAACACAUGCAAGUCGAACGGAAAGGCCCUGCUUUUGUGGGGUGCUCGAGUGGCGAACGGGUGAGUAACACGUGAGUAACCUGCCCUUGACUUUGGGAUAACUUCAGGAAACUGGGGCUAAUACCGGAUAGGAGCUCCUGCUGCAUGGUGGGGGUUGGAAAGUUUCGGCGGUUGGGGAUGGACUCGCGGCUUAUCAGCUUGUUGGUGGGGUAGUGGCUUACCAAGGCUUUGACGGGUAGCCGGCCUGAGAGGGUGACCGGCCACAUUGGGACUGAGAUACGGCCCAGACUCCUACGGGAGGCAGCAGUGGGGAAUAUUGCACAAGGGGCGGAAGCCUGAGGCAGCAACGCCGCGUGCGGGAGGACGGCCUUCGGGUUGUAAACCGCUUUCGCCUGUGACGAAGCGUGAGUGACGGUAAUGGGGAAAGAAGCACCGGCGAACUACGU
rnacentral:rRNA from 1 species